GCUCUGUGAUGAACCCAUGCGUGUCAGUCGGAGCCUGGCUUGGCUCCCCUGUCUUCUCAGCCCGGGGAGUGUUCUACUUCCCAGGCCUGGUCGCCUGGCCUGGCACGGGGGUCCUCAGGCAAAGGAUCAGCCUCUGUAUUCUGAGAGC
rnacentral:snoRNA from 1 species